UUUCUCACGACUAAAAUCUAUUAAAAUAUAGUACUUCUGCUGACGAGCAGGUGCGAAAGAGCUGGAAAAGCUAAAUUGAGUGAUUUUAGUAAAAAAACAGCUCAUGUACGGUUUUAACCCUAAAUGUACGUUUUCAGCGCUGGAUAUGUGCGUUUUGAGAACUCCGUUGCGGCAACACUGCACUCCCUCCACUUCAUUCAUACAACAUACAAUAACAACGAUAAAACAAAAUUACAAAUGGAAUUUCCUUAUUUAAAUAGAUAUUUGUGCACUAAAUACAUAAUAAUAUGACAAAGAAGAAGAAGACGUUGCGUGUCACCGUAUAGCCAAGGAAAUAUCUUGUGAAAGUUUUAACUCAAGGCGGAAAUUUAUUGAAAAAAUACUCAACAUAACCUACAAUUACAGUGAAAUACUGAAAAUAUCUUGUACCGUGAUAAUAUUUCUGAAUAAUAAGUGCAAACCCAUACUCUAAGAUCGUGCUUUCAACCACAUACUUAAUACAAUUCCAUAAUCAUAUCGAAAUCCAAAAGUUCGUAAGUCGUAAGUGAUCAUAGUUUAGGUGUGUACUUAUUAGACUCAUGCAUUGUAAACUCUAUAAACGAUUACUCGUAAUGUAUUAAUCAUAUUAAAAGUUGAA